rnacentral:lncRNA from 1 species
GGAAAUGCAGCUCACACUGCUGCUCUGAGCCCCACCUGCCAGCCGCUCAGCCUGGUUUCAGCUCAAGUGGGAAAAGACGUUCAGGAUUUAUGAGGUUCCGAGAGGAUAUUUAGAGCCAAAAUCUUCAUUUGCCAGAGAGCUGUAGUGGUAUUAUGGAGAUGAGAGGUUUUCUCCUGGGAAGGAGUGUGUUGCUUAGCAGAGGAAUUUCCAAAGGUCUGAGAGUGUCCAGUGCAGGAGGGAGAUGUUGCUUUCCAUGCACACGGAGAGGGGUAGCAGGAUUUGGUGGAGAAGAAGCUGAAAACCCACCACAAUACCAAGCCACACAGGGGCAAGAGUUUUGCAUGGGGCCAAGAGUGAAAGAUGCUACUGGCUCAGACAUGCAGAGUUCUGGAGACGUAAGAAAGACUCAAGACCACUGAGGAGUUGCUUGGAUCCCUGAAGAUUGCUGCAGAUGUUUCAGGAUUGGGGAGUGAGAGUUUCGACCAGGAGUGGAUACUGAGGAGAGCAAAGAUCACCUGGUGCUCAUCAAGCCGGACUUCCAGAGGCAAAGCUCCUUAACUGAAGAAUUCAGAAGUAAUUAGACUUCCCUAUUAUCCAAAGCAGGCAUCUGGUACCAGCCUUCUUUCCCCAAAAUUUAUAAGUAACUACAAUUUCUAUACAGCUCCAGAAUGCAUAUACAUCAAAACUCAUUUUGCACCCCUUGAUGACAUCAAGGCACCAGAAUGCCUAAAAAUGUAAUCAUCUAUCAUGACCUACAUAGUUAAUAUGGUCCCAACUUACCCUUAAGCUCCUGCUCUAAGGUCCAUACACACCCCUAAGGAACAUCCACUGCGGUGGACUCAGUUCUCUCUUGCUGAGGCUCCCACUGAACUCCUCUGCAGCAUUAUUUCUUUCUAAUAAAACUUUCCUUUUCAUCCAGUCUAUCAUUGAUGGGCAUUUAGGUUGGUUCCAUGUCUUUGCUAUUGUGAAUAGUACUGCAAUGAACAUAUGCACGUAUGUAUGUUUAUAACUGAAUUAUUUAUAUUCCUUUGGGUAUAUACCCAGUAAUGGGAUUGCUGGGUCAAAUGGUAUUUCUGUCUUUAGGUCUUUGAGGAAUCACCACCAUGGAAUACUAUGCAGCCAUAAAAAAGAAAGAUAACAUGUCCUUCACAGGGACAUAGAUGGAGCUGGAGGCCAUUCUCCUUAGCAAACUAAACUAUGUAACAAACCUAUACUUGUACCCCAGAACUUAAAAUAAAAGUUUAAAAAAGCCCUUUCCUUUUCAAAUCUAUACUGUUGUUGGUAAAUUCUUCUUACUACCCAUGAGUAAAUCACUUUUUGUUGCCUGAGAUCUGACACCUCACCCAGCAGGCACCUACCAUUUUUACUCCCCAUUUACCUGUCUAAGCAGGAAUUGGUGACUUAACAAAUUUGGAGGAAGAUUUUAGCAGAAAGAGAAUUUGAUCAGAGCCUAGUGACUCUAACUAACAGACCUAUUAGUAGGCAGUCAAGGUUCUCCAGAGAAAUAGAAGCAGUAGGACAUGGGGCAGGGAAAAGGAGAGAGAGAGAGAGAAAGAAAAAGAGAGAGAAAGGUACCAAGGAAUUGGCUCAUGUGUUAGGGGCUGGCCAAGCAAAUCUGAAAUCUGCAGGGCAGGCUGUCAGAAAGGGCAGGCAAGAAACUCUAAGGGCCGAGAGCUGUGGUCCACAGGUAGAAUUUCUUCUUCUCCGGGAAACCUCUUUCUAGUGUGGCAGCAAAUAAUGACUAAAUGGAUUUUGUGGCUAAGGCAGCACAGAGAUAUAGAAAAAGUUCAACAGGUAUUAUUAAAAGGCAUUUAAUCUCUAGGCAACUCAGCUAGAUGAAAUGCAAUGAAAGAGUCGCUGCUUUUUUCAGGAGAGAUACAUGAGGCAUCUUUACCUAAUAAACACCAUUUGUUAUAUUGAAGCUUUAGGGCCGAAGCCAAUG